AGAGUUUGAUCCUGGCUCAGGACGAACGCUGGCGGCGUGCCUAACACAUGCAAGUCGAACGGAGAUAUUUAUUUCGGUAGAUAUCUUAGUGGCGCACGGGUGAGUAACGCGUGAAUAACCUGACCCGAAGAGGGGGAUAACACCUGGAAACAAGUGCUAAUACCGCAUAAGACCACGGACCGGCAUCGGUCAGAGGUCAAAGGAGGAAUCCGCUUUGGGAGGGGUUCGCGUCCCAUUAGGUAGUUGGUGAGGUAACGGUCCACCAAGCCGACGAUGGGUAGCCGAGCUGAGAGGCUGAUCGGCCACACUGGACUGAGACACGGCCCAGACUCCUACGGGAGGCAGCAGUGGGGAAUAUUGCACAAUGGGGGAAACCCUGAUGCAGCGACGCCGCGUGAAGGAAGAAGUAUCUCGGUAUGUAAACUUCUAUCAGCAGGGAAGAUAGUGACGGUACCUGACUAAGAAGCCCCGGCUAACUACGUGCCAGCAGCCGCGGUAAUACGUAGGGGGCAAGCGUUAUCCGGAUUUACUGGGUGUAAAGGGAGCGCAGGCGGGAAGACAAGUUGGAAGUGAAAACCAUGGGCUCAACCCAUGAAUUGCUUUCAAAACUGUUUUUCUUGAGUAGUGCAGAGGUAGAUGGAAUUCCCGGUGUAGCGGUGGAAUGCGUAGAUAUCGGGAGGAACACCAGUGGCGAAGGCGGUCUACUGGGCACCAACUGACGCUGAGGCUCGAAAGCAUGGGUAGCAAACAGGAUUAGAUACCCUGGUAGUCCAUGCCGUAAACGAUGAUUACUAGGUGUUGGGGGAUUGACCCCCUCAGUGCGGCAGUUUAACACAAUAAGUAAUCCCACCUGGGGAGUACGACCGCAAGGUUGAAACUCAAAGGAAUUGACGGGGGCCCGCACAAGCAGUGGAGUAUGUGGUUUAAUUCGAAGCAACGCGAAGAACCUUACCAGGUCUUGACAUCCUUCUGACCGCACCUUAAUCGGUGCUUUCCUUCGGGACAGAAGAGACAGGUGGUGCAUGGUUGUCGUCAGCUCGUGUCGUGAGAUGUUGGGUUAAGUCCCGCAACGAGCGCAACCCCUAUCUUCAGUAGCCAGCAGGUAAGGCUGGGCACUCUGGAGAGACUGCCAGGGAUAACCUGGAGGAAGGUGGGGACGACGUCAAAUCAUCAUGCCCCUUAUGAUCUGGGCGACACACGUGCUACAAUGGCGGUCACAGAGUGAGGCGAACCCGCGAGGGGGAGCAAACCACAAAAAGGCCGUCCCAGUUCGGACUGUAGUCUGCAACCCGACUACACGAAGCUGGAAUCGCUAGUAAUCGCGAAUCAGAAUGUCGCGGUGAAUACGUUCCCGGGUCUUGCACACACCGCCCGUCA
rnacentral:rRNA from 1 species